rnacentral:rRNA from 1 species
UCGAGCGGUAGGCCUUUCGGGGUACACGAGCGGCGAACGGGUGAGUAACACGUGGGUGAUCUGCCCUGCACUUCGGGAUAAGCCUGGGAAACUGGGUCUAAUACUGGAUAUGACCUCCUAUCGCAUGGUGGGUGGUGGAAAGAUUUAUCGGUGCAGGAUGGGCCCGCGGCCUAUCAGCUUGUUGGUGGGGUAAUGGCCUACCAAGGCGACGACGGGUAGCCGACCUGAGAGGGUGACCGGCCACACUGGGACUGAGACACGGCCCAGACUCCUACGGGAGGCAGCAGUGGGGAAUAUUGCACAAUGGGCGAAAGCCUGAUGCAGCGACGCCGCGUGAGGGAUGACGGCCUUCGGGUUGUAAACCUCUUUCAGCAGGGACGAAGCGCAAGUGACGGUACCUGCAGAAGAAGCACCGGCUAACUACGUGCCAGCAGCCGCGGUAAUACGUAGGGUGCAAGCGUUGUCCGGAAUUACUGGGCGUAAAGAGUUCGUAGGCGGUUUGUCGCGUCGUUUGUGAAAACCAGCAGCUCAACUGCUGGCUUGCAGGCGAUACGGGCAGACUUGAGUACUGCAGGGGAGACUGGAAUUCCUGGUGUAGCGGUGAAAUGCGCAGAUAUCAGGAGGAACACCGGUGGCGAAGGCGGGUCUCUGGGCAGUAACUGACGCUGAGGAACGAAAGCGUGGGUAGCGAACAGGAUUAGAUACCCUGGUAGUCCACGCCGUACACGGUGGGCGCUAGGUGUGGGUUCCUUCCACGGAAUCCGUGCCGUAG